rnacentral:sRNA from 1 species
GGCUCGCCCACCUUGUAGAAGGAGCGCCUUGAGUCCCCUCUCACCCUCGGUUGCAAAGAGCCGGCCGCUUGAUCUGGACACCCCCUCACCCAGACUGCAUGAUCUCCCGGGACCUUCUUGAGUUGCACGUUUCUGCACCAAGGACCUCAAAUCCCCGUCGCUCCUAGGAUUUGCAGCGUUCUGGAUACUGGAGGGUUGCAGGCUACACUCGCCCGCCCCUGGGCAGACACCCGUCCAAACCACUGGAGUGUGCUGGUGACUGGCAGGCUAGCCCUUCGCCUCUCCAUGAACCCGUGAGCCUGGGGGCAGGUGCCAGGCGAUGGCGCGGCCUGUGAGCGACAGGACCCCGGCCCCUCUGCUGCUGGGUGGCCCGGCCGGGACACCCCCUGGCGGGGGAGCGCUGCUUGGGCUGCGGAGCCUUCUGCAGGGGACCAGCAAGCCCAAAGAGCCGGCCAGCUGUCUCCUGAAGGAAAAGGAGCGCAAGGCGGCCCUGCCUGCAGCCACAACCCCUGGGCCAGGCCUGGAGACUGCGGGCCCGGCGGAUGCCCCGGCUGGGGCAGUGGUGGGCGGCGGGUCCCCGCGGGGGCGCCCGGGGCCGGUGCCCGCCCCGGGUCUGUUGGCGCCACUGCUGUGGGAGCGCACGCUGCCGUUCGGCGAUGUGGAGUACGUGGACCUGGACGCCUUCCUGCUGGAGCACGGGCUCCCGCCCAGCCCGCCGCCCCCCGGUGGCCCGUCGCCGGAGCCGUCGCCCGCGCGGACGCCCGCACCCUCCCCAGGGCCGGGUUCGUGCGGCUCCGCUUCCCCCCGCUCCUCUCCUGGGCACGCCCCCGCCCGGGCUGCCCUGGGGUCCGCCAGCGGCCACCGCGCAGGUGCGGCGAAGGGGGCGGGGCGGGUCCUGACGGGGCGGGGCUUCGAGUCAGGGGGCGGGGCUGUGUGACGCUGGGGGCUGGGACCGUGGGACCCGGCUGCGGCCUCGAAUUCCGUGUACAGUUGUCGAGAGGUGUCGUGGGAGGGGCCAGAUUCGGUGUCUCUUAAUGGGUCAGGGACUUGGUCUUCUGGAUCCGUAGGGGAAGAGAGACUUGGAACCCUAAAUUCCAGGAAGCCUGCCCAAUGAGAUUUUGUGGGUUUUUCUGUGGGACGUGGGGACAAAGGAUGUGGAUACUCGUGAAGCCAGAACUGGAAGUCCGGAACACCAGAGUUAUUUACUGGGGAGUGGACUGACCCAGAAUCUGGGCCCAUAAUCGGUGGAACUGGGAUAGGACUAGAGCCCCUAGGUCCUUUACAGGGGCAAAGGCAAAGGAGAGGCACAGAAUUCUGUUUACCCAGGACAUAAGAGACUGGCAGCCCAGGUCCCUGGGUCCCCCAGUGGGGCCUGCUGCAGCUCCGGGUCCCAGAGUUCUUCAGAAGGGAAAACGUUAGGGAUCUUGUUUCUGGAUCCUCCAAUUGGGGCUAGGGCCAAGCUUCUUAUAUUCCUAGGAGAGGCCUGGGAUCCCAGAAUCGUGGGUACCCCAGUGGCGGGGGUUCUGGGAAGGUCCAGGAGGCCGAUGCUCCCCGGAGAGCAGGGGGUUGGGAACCUUUGGAGGUUGAGAAGUUGGAGCUAAGUGACUGGAAGAGCAAGAGGAAAGAUGUUUCCCUUUGGGCACAUUGAGGUGUCCAGGGACGGACUGCAGGUCGAGGAUUCCUGGGCACACCUGCCCCAGGUCCGACCUCCGGGCCGAACCAGGGCCCUACCCUUCCCAGCCGCACAUUCCUGCGCCACGUGAGUCCUCCCAUCCUUCCUCCGCGCUUCGCGCAGGCGCCUUCACGCGCGAGGGGGCGGGGCCGGGGGAACGUGAGGGCGCCAAUGGCAGGGGGGCCUGGGAGGAAGGGAGGAGGAGGGAAGCAGGCGUCAGCACGUGACUCGGCCCUGAACCUGUGUCCUUAGCUGGCCCCGGCUGGCUGGUGCUUAAAGGUACAGGCGCCUCCUUUCGAACCAAUCUUCUGGAACCUUAGAGCAGCUUCUCCUCCUCUUCCCUUCCUCUUCCCAGCGAGUAGCUCGUAGAUUCUAACUUGAGGGCUUUUCAGUGCAGUAGAUUCUUUUUCUCUGGACAGUCUGGGGUCUAAGCUUAGGUCGUGGAUUCGGUAAGUAGGAUUCAGGCUAGACUGUGCAUCUGAAGUCCUGAGGUUUUAGAAGCAAUAGCCCCAUCGCUUCUCGGCCUUUUGGCUAAGAUCAAGUGUAGAAGCAAUAGCCCUGAUUCAUGUGUUACCUAGGGCAAGUUAGUUAUGACUGGGACUCAGUUUCCUUGUUUGUAAAGGUGGAUAUGGUUCCAUGAUCUCUAAGCAUCUUUAUGGCUUAGGGGAACCUUCAUUUUUCUCGUUAUUUUGGAGACGGAGUCUCGCUCUGUUGUCCAGGCUGGAGUGCAGUGGUAUGAUCUCAGCUCACUGCAACCUCCACCUCCAGGGUCCGGGUUCAAGCAAUUCUCCAGGCCCAGCCUCCCUAGUAGCUGGGCUUACAGGCGCCCGCCACUACACCCGGCCAAUUUUCGUACUUUUAGUAAAGAUGAGGUUUUGCAAUGUUGGCCAUGCUGGUCUCGAACUCCUGACUUCAGGUGAUUCGCCGCCUCGGCUUCCCAAAGUGCUGGGGUUACAGGCGUGAGCCACUGCGCCUGGCCAAGGGAACCUUCAUAUUUUAUAUUAGGGAGAUUAAUCCCUGGCCGAAUUUAUGCUAGAUCCCAGAAGGACUUUCCAUGUGGCUAUGAUACCAGAGCAAGAGGUACCUUCAGGAAACCACCUCCCUAAAAUACACACUCAGCUGACACGUGCUGUUUCCCCAAGGCCUGACCUCUCGGGACACACCCAGCCCUGUGGACCCAGACACCGUGGAGGUGCUGAUGACCUUUGAACCCGACCCAGCUGAUCUUGCCCUAUCAAGCAUUCCUGGCCACGAGACCUUUGACCCUCGAAGACAUCGCUUCUCAGAAGAGGAACUUAAGCCCCAGCCAAUCAUGAAGAAGGCAAGGAAAAUCCAGGUGCCAGAGGAGCAGAAGGUGAGCAGAGCUGGAUGUGGGACAUAGACUUGGCUGGAGACAUGCCCCACAGCCAGGGAGGGGCCUUUUCUCACAGUCAGGCCUGGGCUUCUCAUUGGGAUUAGUGCUCAGCCUCUCCUGGCCUGCAGCCACGGAUUAGUCCUCCUUGGCCACAGGGCACAAGGAGGCAGGGGCCUAAGGUUUAUGAAGACAGUGUCAACUGGGCGAGGGGCCUCACUCGUGUAAUCCCAGCACUUUAGGGGGCUGAGGCAGGAGGAUCUCUUGAGCUCAGGAGUUCAAGACCAGCCUGGGCAACAUGGCAAAACCCCAUUUCUGCAAGCUACAUGGGAGGCUGAGGUGAGAGGACUGCUUGUGCCUGGAAGGUUGAGGCUGCAGUGAGCCAAAAUUACACCACUGCACUCCAGCCUGGGCAACAGAGGGAGACCUUGUCUUAAAACAAAAGACAGUGUCACUGUGGGGUGCUGACUCAGCCAGCUCUGCUAGGUCUACUUGUAGAGACUUGGAGCUUCUCCUAUUGGGUCCAGAGCUCCACCAGGCACAAUUGCGAAGGACAGUCUUCCUUGGCAAUGGGAUAUCAGCCUGUGGCCUGUCUCUCCUUACUCAGCAGGCCUUUGAUCUCUGAUGUGGGACUUCCUUUGGAGUGAUUGCAUUUGGCUAGGAUGCAGACUCUGCCAGCCCCUUUAGGCCUUGUUUCCUGGGCCUGGACUUCUCACUGGUGGGAGACUUCAAGCUUCUAUUAGCAGCCAGUGCCACUUUCUGAUUUGGUGUGAUUUGAGCAGUCAUUGCAUCUUUGCAUCAUUUUGUUUUUUGCCAUUACUGGAGUCUUCCCUAGCAAGAAUUGCUUGGGCUUCUGUUACAAGACUUUGUCAUUCCGGGCUAGGCGCGUUGGCUCACGCCUGUAAUCCCAGCCCUUUGGGAGGCUGAGGUGGGCGGAUCACUUGAGGUCAGGAGUUUGAGGCCAGCCUGGCCAACAUGGUGAAACCUCGCCUCUACUAAAAGUACAAAAAUGUUCCGGGUGCGGUGUCUCACACCUGUAAUCACAGCACUUUGGGAGGCCGAGGCGGACGGAUCACGAGAUCAGGAGACCAUCCUGGCCAACAUGGUGAAACACCGUCUCUACAAAAAAUACAAAAAUUAGCUGGGCGUGGUGGCAUGCGUCUGUAGUCCCAGAUACUUGGGAGGCUAAUGUAGGAAAAUCGCUUGAACCCAGGAGACGGAGGUUGCAGUGAGCCGAGAUUGUGCCACUGCACUCCAGCCUGGGCGACAGAAUGAGAACUCUAUCUCAAAAAAAAAACCCAACAAAAAUUAGCUGGACACGGUAGCGGGCACCUAUAAUCCCAGCUACUUGGGAGGCUGAGGCAGGAGAAUUGCUUGCACCUGGGAGGUGGAGGUUGCAAUGAGCCGAGAUCAUGCCACUGCAUUCCAGCCUGAGUGACAGAGCGAGACUCCAUCUCAAAAACAAACAAGACUUUGCCAUACCCUUGUGUAAGACACAGCUACUUGAAGCACCUAGGACUGGCCUGUAAGUCAGAUCUACACCAGUGGUUUCUCCUUCUAGAGGGCCCUGUUGCUAGGGACUGGAUUUACCCUCACAAGCAGGAACUGGGCUUUAAUUAAAUGGUGGAGCAGAGAGCAUCUUUCUGAGCCCAGUGGUCCUUGGUUACUAAGGAGGAGUCCUCCUUAGGAACCAACUUCCAGGAUGGGAGGACUUUAGGUAUAAUCCUCUGGGGAGGUCUCAGGAUAGUCCCCUUUCCUAAGAGACAGCUCUUCUCUCAGUCAGGUCCUGCUGGGGAGGAGGCUAUUCUCUGGCCUCAGUUCAAGGCCAGCAGGUCAGAGGCUGGCCACAGUCAUUGAAACCACUUAGAUCUCACUUUUGUUUGCCAAGGAUGGAUGAGGUUGCCUUGGCAACCAGGUCAGAAGGCCCCAGCUCUGCGAGGAUUUUAUGGGACACCACACCCCAUCCCCAGGGCACCAAGCUUUCCUUAGCAACCAGGAUCUGGAAAGGCAAUAUGCAGGGCAGUGCUCUUCAUUGGGAGAAGCCCUCAGACCAUGAAGGUCUUGUUGCUAGGGAACAAGCAUCCUCAGCAAGCAGGAGCUAACUGCAGGCCUUUAUCAUGUGGGGAGGGCUGGAGUCCGCUUUGCAGAGUGGAGACUUGAAGCGAGUUGCUUGAGGGUGUGGGGGUCUAUCUCAUGCCUUUACUGUUGCUAGGGGCCCAAUCUCCUUAGCAACCAGGGCCCUAGAAAGGCAGACCCUUGGGUACCUAUCCCAGCAGAGACCUGGUGUGGUUUAGGCCCUGCUGCUGGGGCUCCCUUCCUCUUUAGCUGGGACCUGGGUCCCUCUGGACCUCAGUGCCCUCCCCGUCUUCUCCUGCAGGAUGAGAAAUAUUGGAGCCGGCGGUACAAGAACAACGAGGCAGCCAAGCGGUCCCGGGACGCCCGGCGGCUCAAGGAGAAUCAGAUAUCGGUGCGGGCGGCCUUCCUGGAGAAGGAGAACGCCCUGCUGCGGCAGGAAGUGGUGGCCGUGCGCCAGGAGCUGUCCCACUACCGCGCCGUGCUGUCCCGAUACCAAGCCCAGCACGGGGCCCUGUGAGGCUGCCCCACAUCCCCACCUGGCGGAGCUCUCCUCCGCCUUGCUGAGACUUACGCCCUGUUCCCUUCCUGCCCUGUGGCCCACGGGCCGGCCAGCUGGGUGCCCCAGGGACGUGAUAAUGCAGAUAAAUACAUUUAUAUUUUU